GGGGUGGAUACCUGUGUGGGCAUAUGAAUGUGAGUGUAGGUGUCCUCAGAGGCCAGAGAUAUCAGGUCUCCUGGAGCUGAAAUUGCAGGCAGACCUGAACCUCCUGAGUGGGCUCUCUGGGAAAUUAUCUUUAGUCCUUUGCAAUAGCAGUCUGAGCCCUUACCUGAUGACCUGUUUUGCCAGCCCCUCUGUUUAGGAGUACAAACCUUCACUUACUGAAUAUUUAAUGUUUCAGGAGAUUUGUUUCAAAAUUGGAUAACUUUGAUAAUGAUGGUUUUAGGAAUUCUUAGAACAGAUAAAUCACAAUUAACAUGGUCCCCAUCAAGCUCAAAUCUAUUAAUAUUGAGACAGAAUAAAAAUUUAAAUGUUGAAUGUGUCUGCUUUGGUGAGCGAGAGUUUUAAAAAUACAUGAGUAUCAAACGCAAGCAUUCUCCUGGCCUCCAUGAAAAUGCCAGUGUAGUCAGUAAUGGACCAUAUCACCACUAAUUUUCAUCUUUUCUCUUGCUUCUGGGUUUUAUUUCCUUAUUAAAAUGUAUAAUUAAAAGUUUCCUUUUGCUUUUUCUUCUAAAAGAUAAAUGAAAUUAACACAAUUUCACUAUCCUUCAAUCUACCAAGCUUCUCCUGAUUAGUAUGCUAGCCAUGGCAGCAUUUUAUAAUUCGCAGUUAUUGGCGGUUUUCAAAAGCUUUCCCAUCUUUUUGUCUGGCUUGACCUUUUAACAGAUAAACAUGACGGAUGUUAAGCAUCUGAAGGAGAGUAGGGAGAGACAAAUGGCUUGCCUGAUUACUUCUGGUCUGAAAAAACACCCAUUGCCCCUUUACUCCCCUCUUGACACCUCCAUCGGUGUUCUUAAUGUCUUCCAAUUUCUCAUUUUCCAAAUUGAAUUUUCCCUUUAUCUUGAUAAUUUAUUUCAAUAAGGGACCCUGAACUUGUUCCAGUAGCUUUUCUAACCCCAAAUAAAACAACAAUCAAGACAGUCACUGAAUACGUUAGGCGAAUUAAGGACCUCACAUUAUUGGUGUUGUUGAGCCGGGGUCCCACUAUAAAGAGGUCUCCCUAUGAGACUCCUAACCCUUUGCCUCAACCUUCUGAAUGCUGGGAAUACAGAAGUGUGUGAGCAAACCUGCCUAACCUGUUAGUAUGUUAAAAAGGUUCUAUAUGCCAAGUUUCUCUAUAGUCUACUUUUGGAUUUGGACUUAGAAGAUUAUUCUAUUUACUGUAAUUAAAAAAAAAUCCUCACUUGUUACUUCUACAGGAGUCAUGUGUGUGUUCCUAAUUAGUAAGGAUCUUCCUUGACAUCAUGGUUCAGGGACCCAGGCUGUCCUUCCAACCUGUUUUCCCCACAGUGAAAACUUAGACAGUGAGAUGGCAAGAGCUGUACAACUGUGGAGAUAACGACGCUCCCUGCAGAGCUGGACCACCAGGUGAGAUGAUUUCCGUAAGUAUCAUCUAACCAGCAAAAUUGAUGCCACACACAGCAAUAAUGAAAGAAUUCCUAGGAGGGAUCCUCACUGUUGAUUUUUGAAGCACAUUAACUUCAAAUAUCAAAUUUGAAUGCUGCAGAUUAGAAAAAAGAAAAUUUCACAUCUGUACCAGACAGGUGACUUGUUAUAUCAGAUGCUGUUACUGUGAGGAUCAAAUCAGAGGCCUUAUCUGAAAGUGACUGGUAGAUUCUAGAACCUUUCAGUGGUGUGUGCUGUCCUUGGAAGCACUAUGGGACUGCACCUACUGACAAUUCACGAUGCUGGCUUGUUAGCUACAGGUGAGACGUUGGGGAUUUACUCAGUUUAUACCUGGUUAUCUACAUGCUCCAAAACAGGGGAACCUCUCUGAGAACAUCUCUGCCUGUCUACACACAGUCAGUCACCCAGGCUUUAGGCAAUAGGAACAUAGACCCAUAAGACAUGACUUGAUGAUUUCUCAUCAGACACCUCUGUUUAUCUCUCUGACUCUGGAAGAUACCAGCAUGCUCUCAUGCAGGUUUCCAGAUUAUUAAGAAGGUCAAAUUCUACCUUCAUAAAAAUAAUGGGGGAAAAAGAGAGAAGAACGGUGAAGUGUGACCCAGGUUGGUUUUGCCCUUUAUUAUCAUAGUUUCAUGUACAGUAGUGGAUUCUUUCUUAGGAAAUAAAUCAUCUGUCUCUUGGAUGGUGUUUGUGCCCUCCUUGGAGCAUAAGCUUAUGAUACAGACUGAGUGCUUAUCUGAGUUUUUCACUUAUUUGAGGGGAACUACUUCUGAGAAAUAAGCCUGUCAUAGAAAAUGAAUAUAUUUCUCUGCGGAGGAACUAAGCACAACUCUAUUAUGUAGUAGGGCUACGUCUUAUAAAAAUGCAUGUUAGAAAUAUGAAGCCAUAAAUAGUGGAAAUAACCCAUACACUCCCAGAAUAACAAAGCAGGAGGAUAGUCUAAGAGGAAGCAACAAAGAAGACUUCUAAAAACAUUUAUUUAUUUACUUAUUUUUAUUUACUGUGCAUGUGUUCCUAUGUAUAUGAACACACACACACACACACACACACACACACACACACACAGUGUGAGAUGCUCAGAGGACAACUUGCAGUAAAUGGUC
ensembl:lncRNA